UGUCAAUGGUAUCUUACUUUGAAGGAACUACAUAGAUUGUGUUUGAAAACAGGGUGCCCAAGAGGAUAUAUGGACCAAGAAGGGAUGAAAUACGGGGAAUUUAGGAUAUUGCAUGACGAGGAGCUGGGUGAAUUGUACGGGUCACCUGGCAUAGUGAGAAUCGUGAAAUCUAAGAGGCUCCGAUGGGCUCUACGUAGAGCACGCAUGGGGGUCCAAACAGAACUUUGGUGGGAAAUCCUUCUGGAAAACGCAACUGUGCAGACGAAGAGGGGGAUGGGAGGAUAAUAUCAAGAUGGAUCUUAGGGAGGUGAGCUGUGAAGAUGACAAAUGGAUGGAGUUGGCUCAGGAUCAUGGCAGGUGGCGGGCACAUGGUACCUUUACAAGUCUAUGGAACUUAAAAUUAAUAAUACUGUCGGAGUGGGGAAAUUUGAAUACUCAAAGCAAGAAGUGACAUUAGUAACUGUUGGUUAUACUGGUUUCCAAUCGGUAAGAUGGCAGCAAAGAAGGCAAGAUGCAUGUGCUUUUGAAAGGAAGUCAAUAUCGUGACACGAAGAAAUGAACAAGAAAACACGAAAUGCUUCCGUGGAACUUGGCUUUUUUGAAGGUGUUCGUGGAAUAAGAGUGUAAGAUCACGACCACUCAAAACAUUCUUCAUCCACUCUAUGAAGACUGUAGAUAUCAAGGCAAGCCAAUUCGAAAUCACAGUUACCUCGUUUCAGUGAUGAACCAUGUGUAUAUAGCCAGUCAGGGAUCAUCAAUAUGUAAGGUUCAUGACAAAACAUCCUGUCAAUGACGUUUAGAGAGGUGAACUGAAUUUCUUUACUUAAUAUAAAAAACAAGAUGUUUAUGCAGAAGUCCAUAAGGGAACAAAAAAUACUUUAUAAAAUAUAGUUUAAUUGAAUAAGCAUUUCAUUAACAUUUCCGUAUACCCACGACACAAACAUAUUAAACAUUAAUCUAAUGAAAGUAUCACACAGUGCCAACUUCAAACUGAAAAUGUUUUACUCCAGUUCAAUGCCAUAUAGUCUGAGCUACUGAUAGCGUCAUUAAAUAAACCAUAAAUAAAUAAAAUAAAUUUCGGCAGAAAGUGAUAUUGCGUUCGUAAAGAAAGCAUGUUGACGUGAAGACUCUUACCGACCACAUCACGCCGCCGCUGAGCCUUCCCCAGCUUCACAGCACAUUUGGUAAGCACAGUUCCGAUAUCAUCUGUUGGUUCAUCCAGACCCAUGAUUUCCAGGUAUCUGUACAAGUUACAAAACAACACAAAAGCUGUAGGAUAAUAAGUGAAGGCUGCGAUAUUGCAUUUAACUCGCUUUCAGAAUAUUAUGUGGUCAGCUCUAUACCCAGCACAAUGUAGACAUUACAUUACAGCAAAGGACCAAAUUCAUGAAGCUACGUCAGCCUUACAGCUGUUUACUGCCUUGCAGAAGCUCUUAACGUUAAGAAUAUGCCGGUAAACAAAGUAAUGACAGCCCAAAUGUUCACCAUCACCUGGCCUAAAAACACUGACCUAUGUGUAAUAUUUUGUUACAUUAUCCUUGGUCUUUUGAGUGCCUGGAUUAGAAAAGAAUAAAAUGAUUACUUUACCUGAA